rnacentral:rRNA from 1 species
UACGUAGGGGGCAAGCGUUGUUCGGAAUUACUGGGCGUAAAGGGCUCGUAGGCGGCACAGCAAGUCGGGAGUGAAAGCCCGGGGCUCAACCCCGGAAUGGCUUUCGAAACUGCUGAGCUAGAGUACAGAAGGGGCAACCGGAAUUCCCAGUGUAGCGGUGAAAUGCGUAGAUAUUGGGAAGAACACCUGAGGCGAAGGCGGGUUGCUGGGCUGAUACUGACGCUGAGGCGCGAAAGCCAGGGGAGCAAACGGG